GUCAGAGCUUCAUACUGUGCAAAGUUCAGUCAACCAGAUUAGGAGGCAUGUCUCAGCCGGCCACUCACUGAGUGCUGUGACAUGGGAAGCCAGAGGAAAACCUUCUGUCCAGCCAUAGGUCUACGUACACAAGCCUUAGCAAAGACUUGAGAUGCCACCCACCAAACAACAGGAGCCAGUUGCAGAAAUGGACAGAAUCAAUAAGGAGAACGGGGAACUUAGUGCGUCAGGGGAGAGUUCAGAGAGCAUAGAAGUGAAAACGACACAAAUCCAAAGUGAGACAAAUGGGGACCUGAAAGCACAUGAGGAUCCAGUGGUGCUUCUGAAAGAUCAACUAACUCAGCUGGGUACUAUAAGCCAAUGGACACCAGAACAAAGAGACCAAGAGCUCACCCAACUUCUGCUUCUGUUCAUCCAGCAGUGAUCUGUCACUACGUGUCAGUUGGUCUAGUUUGUUGCUGUAUUGACAAACACACAUGACCUACUGAAAUGCAAUCACGCUCACAGGCUUAGUGUGUGUGCACG
rnacentral:lncRNA from 1 species